rnacentral:tRNA from 1 species
AAGGCUUUAAGUUAAUUAAACUAUUAUCCUUCAAAGUUAAAAAUAUAAUUUUGUUGUAAGCCUUA